CGAAGCCAGACGUUCCAAGUUUGAACGGAAUAUUUCAAUUUUUGAACAGAGAAAUAUGUUUGCGAAGGUAUUAUGGCGCCAACUUUAGAUUUUCGAAUUUUGAACUAUUACAAUACAUGUGAGGUGAAUUACAUUUUGUAUUUGACGACAUAAGUUUACGUGCGUUUUUAUCUAAAGCCUGACAAAACAUGUUCUAGAAAAGAUGGAAAAUAAUUAAGUUGCACAAAGACGCGGUUGGCGGUGAAGCGGCCAGCAUUGUUUACAUAACAUAACAUAAACAGGCUAUAUACGUCCCACUGCUGCGCACAGGCCUCCCCUCAAUCAACCGGAGGGGGUAUGGAGCAUACUCCACCACGCUGCUCCACUGCGGUAAAUGUGUCGCGUCAAUGACCCCUCGGGCGUGGUCCACUCUAAUCAGCGCUUAUCGCUAUCGGUCUACCAGGGUCAAUUCUUUCAUCAUCAUUAAUUCUUUCAAAUAUAAUUUUCGCAGACCGAAGAGCCGAAAUUCGCGCCCAACUGGACAUCACUCUGUCUUAAAAUUUGUACCGUAUACUCUCACCCAGUACAAAUUUUGUUCUCCAUUUGUCCGGCCAAGUAGUUGACGCUACUGCUGCAUACGUGCAGAAAAUAUACAAUGAGUCAUGUCAAAAAAUAUAUUUUAAUGAAUAAAAAAGAAGACGAUUCAUUUGUCGCAAACAUACUCAGCUAAAUAUCCUCCUUACGUGCUUAUUACCAUAAUAAAAUAUUGAAUAACAAAACCUUA